rnacentral:rRNA from 1 species
UACGUAGGGGGCGAGCGUUGUCCGGAUUUACUGGGCGUAAAGAGCGCGUAGGCGGAUGUUUAAGUGUGGCCUCAAAGCCCCCGGCUCAACCGGGGAUCUGGGUUGCAAACUGGGCAUCUUGAGGGGGAUAGAGGAGAGUGGAAUUCCUGGUGUAGCGGUGAAAUGCGUAGAUAUCAGGAGGAACACCGGUGGCGAAGGCGGGUCUCUGGGCAGUAACUGACGCUGAGGAGCGAAAGCGUGGGGAGCGAACAGG